rnacentral:ncRNA from 1 species
CAAAGGUUUGGUCCCGGCCUUAUUCUCAACUGUAGCUGAACUUACACAUGCAAGUAUCCGCACCCCCGUGAAAAUGCCCCCCGCCCCCCACCCGGGGGCAAGGAGCUGGUAUCAGGCACAAAUCCAUUUAGCCAACGACACCUAGCCUAGCCACACCCCCAAGGGACUACAGCAGUGAUAGACAUUAAGCAAUGAGUGAAAACUCGACUUAGUUAAAGCUAAGAGGGCUGGUAAAUCUCGUGCCAGCCACCGCGGUUAUACGAAAGGCCCAAGUUGAAAAACAUUCGGCGUAAAGGGUGGCUAAGGACCUAUUUCAAACUAGAGCUAAAUUUCUUCAAAGCUGUUAUACGCUCAUGAAAACCAGAAAAUCAACCACGAAAGUGGCUCUAAUUACUCCUGACACCACGAAAGCUAUGGCACAAACUGGGAUUAGAUACCCCACUAUGCGUAGUCGUAAACCUAACAGCUCCUUACAUUCGCUGUUCGCCCGGGAACUACGAGCGUAAGCUUAAAACCCAAAGGACUUGACGGUGCUUUAUAUCCCCCUAGAGGAGCCUGUCCUAGAACCGAUAAUCCCCGUUUAACCUCACCUUUUCUUGCUUAUUCCGCCUAUAUACCGCCGUCUCCAGUCUACCCUGUAAAGGACCCAUAGUAGGCGUAAUUGGUUUAGCCCCAGACGACAGGUCGAGGUGUAGCGUAUGAAAAGGGAAGAGAUGGGCUACAUUCAGUGAUAGCACUGAAUACGGAGAGUUGAUUGAAAUAUUGACUUGAAGGUGGAUUUAGCAGUAAGCGGGGAGUAGAGAGCCCCACUGAAAUCGGCCCUGAAGCGUGUACACACCGCCCGUCACUCUCCCCGAGCAGAAAAACUCUUUACCUAAAAAGCCAUAAAAAUGUAAAGGGGAGGCAAGUCGUAACAUGGUAAGUGUACCGGAAGGUGCACUUGGACAAAAAUAU